rnacentral:rRNA from 1 species
ACGUAGGUGGCAAGCGUUAUCCGGAUUUACUGGGUGUAAAGGGCGUGUAGGCGGGACUGCAAGUCAGGCGUGAAAACCAGAGGCUCAACCUCUGGCCUGCGUUUGAAACUGUAGUUCUUGAGUGCUGGAGAGGCAAUCGGAAUUCCGUGUGUAGCGGUGAAAUGCGUAGAUAUACGGAGGAACACCAGUGGCGAAGGCGGAUUGCUGGACAGUAACUGACGCUGAGGCGCGAAAGCGUGGGGAGCAAACAG